UGCAAGUCGAACGCUUCUUUCCUCCCGAGUGCUUGCACUCAAUUGGAAAGAGGAGUGGCGGACGGGUGAGUAACACGUGGGUAACCUACCCAUCAGAGGGGGAUAACACUUGGAAACAGGUGCUAAUACCGCAUAACAGUUUAUGCCGCAUGGCAUAAGAGUGAAAGGCGCUUUCGGGUGUCGCUGAUGGAUGGACCCGCGGUGCAUUAGCUAGUUGGUGAGGUAACGGCUCACCAAGGCCACGAUGCAUAGCCGACCUGAGAGGGUGAUCGGCCACACUGGGACUGAGACACGGCCCAGACUCCUACGGGAGGCAGCAGUAGGGAAUCUUCGGCAAUGGACGAAAGUCUGACCGAGCAACGCCGCGUGAGUGAAGAAGGUUUUCGGAUCGUAAAACUCUGUUGUUAGAGAAGAACAAGGACGUUAGUAACUGAACGUCCCCUGACGGUAUCUAACCAGAAAGCCACGGCUAACUACGUGCCAGCAGCCGCGGUAAUACGUAGGUGGCAAGCGUUGUCCGGAUUUAUUGGGCGUAAAGCGAGCGCAGGCGGUUUCUUAAGUCUGAUGUGAAAGCCCCCGGCUCAACCGGGGAGGGUCAUUGGAAACUGGGAGACUUGAGUGCAGAAGAGGAGAGUGGAAUUCCAUGUGU
rnacentral:rRNA from 1 species